GACGAACGCUGGCGGCGCGCUUAACACAUGCAAGUCGAACGGAAAGGCCCUGCUUUUGUGGGGUGCUCGAUUGGCGAACGGGUGAGUAACACGUGAGUAUCCUGCCCUUGUCUUUGGGAUAACUUCAGGAAACUGGGGCUAAUACCGGAUAGGAGCUCCUGCUGCAUGGUGGGCGUUGGAAAGUUUCGGCGGUUGGGGCUGGACUCGCGGCUUAUCAGCUUGUUGGUGGGGUAGUGGCUUACCAAGGCUUUGACGGGUAGCCGGCCUGAGAGGGUGACCGGCCACAUUGGGACUGCGAUACGGCCCAGACUCCUACGGGAGGCAGCAGUGGGGAAUAUUGCACAAUGGGCGGAAGCCUGAUGCAGCAACGCCGCGUGCGGGAUGACGGCCUUCGGGUUGUAAACCGCUUUCGCCUGUGACGAAGCGUGAGUGACGGUAAUGGGUAAAGAAGCACCGGCUAACUACGUG
rnacentral:rRNA from 1 species